GUGGGGAAUAUUGGACAAUGGGCGAAAGCCUGAUCCAGCCAUGCCGCGUGUGUGAAGAAGGUCUUCGGAUUGUAAAGCACUUUAAGUUGGGAAGAAGGGUAGUAACCUAAUACGUUGCUACUUUGACGUUACCGACAGAAUAAGCACCGGCUAACUUCGUGCCAGCAGCCGCGGUAAUACGAAGGGUGCAAGCGUUAAUCGGAAUUACUGGGCGUAAAGCGCGCGUAGGUGGUUCAGUAAGUUGGAAGUGAAAUCCCCGGGCUCAACCUGGGAACUGCUUUCAAAACUGCUGAGCUAGAGUACGGUAGAGGGUGGUGGAAUUUCCUGUGUAGCAGUGAAAUGCGUAGAUAUAGGAAGGAACACCAGUGGCGAAGGCGACCACCUGGACUGAUACUGACACUGAGGUGCGAAAGCGUGGGGAGCAAACAGGAUUAGAAACCCGUGUAGUCC
rnacentral:rRNA from 1 species